AUUGAACGCUGGCGGAAUGCUUUACACAUGCAAGUCGAACGGCAGCACGGACUUCGGUCUGGUGGCGAGUGGCGAACGGGUGAGUAAUGUAUCGGAACGUGCCCAGUCGUGGGGGAUAACGUAGUGAAAAUUACGCUAAUACCGCAUACGAUCUAUGGAUGAAAGCGGGGGAUCGCAAGACCUCGCGCGAUUGGAGCGGCCGAUAUCAGAUUAGGUAGUUGGUGGGUAAAGGCCCACCAAGCCAACGAUCUGUAGCUGGUCUGAGAGGACGACCAGCCACACUGGAACUGAGACACGGUCCAGAAUCCUACGGGAGGCAGCAGUGGGGAAUUUUGGACAAUGGGCGAAAGCCUGAUCCAGCCAUUCCGCGUGCAGGAUGAAGGCCCUCGGGUUGUAAACUGCUUUUGUACAGAACGAAAAGGUUUCUACUAAUACUAGGAGCUCAUGACGGUACUGUAAGAAUAAGCACCGGCUAACUACGUGCCAGCCGCCGUGGUAA
rnacentral:rRNA from 1 species